UACGUAGGGCGCAAGCGUUGAUCCGGAAUUAUUGGGCGUAAAGAGCUCGUAGGCGGUUUGUCGCGUCUGCCGUGAAAGUCCGGGGCUCAACUCCGGAUCUGCGGUGGGUACGGGCAGACUAGAGUGAUGUAGGGGAGACUGGAAUUCCUGGUGUAGCGGUGAAAUGCGCAGAUAUCAGGAGGAACACCGAUGGCGAAGGCAGGUCUCUGGGCAUUAACUGACGCUGAGGAGCGAAAGCAUGGGGAGCGAACAGG
rnacentral:rRNA from 1 species